rnacentral:rRNA from 1 species
UACGUAGGCAGCGAGCGUUUGUUCGGAAUUACUGGGCGGUAAAGAGUGUGUAGGCGGUGCUCUAAGUUCGGUGUGAAAUCUCUUGGCUCAACUGGGAGGGUGCGCCGGAAACUGGAGUGCUUGAGCGUGGGAGAGGAAAGCGGAAUUCCUGGUGUAGCGGUGAAAUGCGUAGGAUAAUGCGGAGGAACACCGAUGGCGAAGGCAAUCCCCUGGGCCUGCACUGACGCUCAUGCACGAAAGCGUGGGGGAGCAAACAGGG